rnacentral:lncRNA from 1 species
GGCUUCAGCCUUCAGCUGACCGAAUUGGGGAUGGAUUUCGGCGAGAAAUCUCAGAUUUCCACUCUGCUUCAGCGGUGGAUCCUCGAUCUUUGGUCAGUUUCAGUGAUAGAUUCCCAAUCCUUGGUCAGUUUUGGCACCGGAUCCCAGAUUCCUGGUCGGUUUUGGCACCGGAACCCAGAUUCCUGGUCGGUUUUGGCACCGGAACCCAGAUUCCUGGUCGGUUUUGGCACCGGAACCCAGAUUCCUGGUCGGUUUUGGCACCGGAACCCAGAUUCCUGGUCGGUUUUGGCACCGGAACCCAGAUUCCUGGUCGGUUUUGGCACCGGAACCCAGAUUCCUGGUCGGUUUUGGCACCGGAACCCAGAUUCCUGGUCGGUUUUGGCACCGGAACCCAGAUUCCUGGUCGGUUUUGGCACCGGAUCCCAGAUUCCUGGUUGGUUUUGGCACCGGAUCCCAGAUUGCUGGUCGGUUUUGGCACCAGAUCCCAGAUUCCUGCUCAGCUUUGGCACUGGAUCCCAGAUUCCUGCUCAGUUUUGGCACCGGAUCCCAGAUUCCUGCUCAGUUUAGGCACCAGAUCCCAGAACAAUUUUGGCACCAGAUCCCAGAUCAGUUUUGGCACAGAUUCCUGCUCAGUUUUGUCACCAGAUCCCAGAUUCCUGCUCAGUUUUGGCACCGGCUCACAAAUAUUUCAAUUCCAGCAACAGAUCAAUUCCAGCAACAGAUCCCAGAUCCUCGCUCUGUUUCAGCAGCAGAUCCCCAGAUCCUCGAUCAGCUCCAGCUCCCAGAUCCUCUCUCUAUUUCACCUCCAGCUCCUCGGCUCGCUUUCCAUCCCGGAUUUCGACGCUUUCAGCUCCAGAUCCCCAUCCCAAAAAAAAAGAAAAAAGAUCCUCCAUCAGUUACAACACCGGAUCCCAAAAUCUCAGUGGAUCCCGCUCUCAUCCGAGCCCGGAUCCCGACUGAAUCCUUCACCACCACCACCACCAAGGCAUCACCAACACCCAGCAAUACCUCCAAACACCUGGAAUCACAACCGUGUCCCCCAAAAGCUGUAGGUCCUCCAACCCAAGCUGUAGGUCCUCCAAUCCAAGCUGUAGGUCCUCCAAUCCGACUUGCCGUCACCGAACCACCAGCUGCUGUUCAUCCACCACCGACGCUCGGCCGGUUGUUCGGGGGUUUUGUCAGACUGUCACCAAUCGGGUGCCGGCGCCGAUGGUGCCGACGCGUCACCCAUGGGUGCUGGUUGUUGUUGGUGGCGGCGGCGGUGAUGGAUGCGUAUUAUUUGCAAGGUUCUUCGUGUUUUGUCCCGCCCCAGGAGGUGGCACCGGAGGGACCGGUUAAGCCAGAGUCAAAAUUUUGGAGCCGGUCGGUCGGGCGCCGAGUUGGGAAAUAACGGGGAGCCCCCGCCCCA